AGGGUUUGAUCCUGGCUCAGGAUGAACGCUAGCGGCAGGCCUAACACAUGCAAGUAGAACGGUAACGGAGAGAGCUUGCUCUCUGCUGACGAGUUGCGAACGGGUGCGUAACGCGUAUGCAACCUACCCAUAACAGGGGGAUAGCCCAUAGAAAUGUGGAUUAAUACCCCAUAACAUCAUAGAUUGGCAUCAUGAAAUGAUUAAAACUCCGGUGGUUAUGGAUGGGCAUGCGUGACAUUAGCUAGUUGGUGAGGUAACUGCUCACCAAGGCUACGAUGUCUAGGGGUUCUGAGAGGAUGAUCCCCCACACUGGUACUGAGACACGGACCAGACUCCUACGGGAGGCAGCAGUGAGGAAUAUUGCGCAAUGGAGGAAACUCUGACGCAGCCAUGCCGCGUGCAGGAAGACUGCCCUAUGGGUUGUAAACUGCUUUUAUAUAGGAAGAACUACAGCUACGUGUAGCUGUUUGACGGUACUAUACGAAUAAGGACCGGCUAACUCCGUGCCAGCAGCCGCGGUAAU
rnacentral:rRNA from 1 species